rnacentral:rRNA from 1 species
AACGAACGCUGGCGGCAUGCCUAACACAUGCAAGUCGAACGAGACCUUCGGGUCUAGUGGCGCACGGGUGCGUAACGCGUGGGAACCUGCCCUUAGGUUCGGAAUAACUCCCCGAAAGGGGUGCUAAUACCGGAUAAUGUCUUCGGACCUAAGAUUUAUCGCCUUUGGAUGGGCCCGCGUUGGAUUAGCUAGUUGGUAGGGUAAAAGCCUACCAAGGCGACGAUCCAUAGCUGGUCUGAGAGGAUGAUCGGCCACACUGGGACUGAGACACGGCCCAGACUCCUACGGGAGGCAGCAGUGGGGAAUAUUGGACAAUGGGCGAAAGCCUGAUCCAGCAAUGCCGCGUGAGUGAUGAAGGCCUUAGGGUUGUAAAGCUCUUUUACCCGGGAUGAUAAUGACAGUACCGGGAGAAUAAGCUCCGGCUAACUCCGUG